GACGGAGGAUGCAAGCGUUAUCCGGAAUGAUUGGGCGUAAAGCGUCCGCAGGUGGCAGUUCAAGUCUGCUGUCAAAGACCGGGGCUUAACUUCGGAAAGGCAGUGGAAACUACAUAGCUAGAGUACGUUCGGGGCAGAGGGAAUUCCUGGUGUAGCGGUGAAAUGCGUAGAGAUCAGGAAGAACACCAGUGGCGAAGGCGCUCUGCUAGGCCGUAACUGACACUGAGGGACGAAAGCUAGGGGAGCGAAUGGG
rnacentral:rRNA from 1 species